rnacentral:rRNA from 1 species
UACGGAGGGGGCUAGCGUUGUUCGGAAUUACUGGGCGUAAAGCGCACGUAGGCGGACUGUUAAGUCGGGGGUGAAAUCCUGGGGCUCAACCUCAGAAUUGCCUCCGAUACUGGCAGUCUCGAGUGCGGGAGAGGUGAGUGGAAUUCCCAGUGUAGAGGUGAAAUUCGUAGAUAUUGGGAAGAACACCAGUGGCGAAGGCGGCUCACUGGCCCGUAACUGACGCUGAGGUGCGAAAGGCGUGGGGA